rnacentral:rRNA from 1 species
UACAGAGGUCUCAAGCGUUGUUCGGAUUCAUUGGGCGUAAAGGGUGCGUAGGCGGCGCGGUAAGUCGGGUGUGAAAUCUUGGAGCUUAACUCCGAAACUGCAUUUGAUACUGGUGUGCUUGAGGACUGGAGAGGAGACUGGAAUUUACGGUGUAGCAGUGAAAUGCGUAGAGAUCGUAAGGAAGACCAGUGGCGAAGGCGGGUCUCUGGACAGUUCCUGACACUGAGGCACGAAGGCCAGGGGAGCAAACGGG